rnacentral:rRNA from 1 species
UGGGGAAUAUUGGACAAUGGUCGAAAGCCUGAUCCAGCCAUGCCGCGUGUGUGAAGAAGGUCUUCGGAUUGUAAAGCACUUUAAGUUGGGAGGAAGGGCAGUUACCUAAUACGUAUCUGUUUUGACGUUACCGACAGAAUAAGCACCGGCUAACUCUGUGCCAGCAGCCGCGGUAAUACAGAGGGUGCAAGCGUUAAUCGGAAUUACUGGGCGUAAAGCGCGCGUAGGUGGUUUGUUAAGUUGGAUGUGAAAUCCCCGGGCUCAACCUGGGAACUGCAUUCAAAACUGACAAGCUAGAGUAUGGUAGAGGGUGGUAGAAUUCCCGGUGUAGCGGGUGAAUGCG